rnacentral:rRNA from 1 species
UAUGCUCAUCCUGAAGACUAAGCCAUGCAUGUCUAUGAUUAGAUGCUAUUGAACAAUUCGAAUCUGCGAACGGCUCCACAUAUCAGUUGCGACAUAACGACCCGCUCCAUGCCCCGUAGGGACCAGCAAUGGCCCCGAAAGGGAACUACAUGGAUAACCCCGGUAAUUCUGAGGCUAAUACAUGAUACGAAAGCCGACCCAGCAAUGGGCCGUGCUCAAGAGCAAUAACGUCACGGCGGUUUUGCUAAUCAAUUCAUGAUGCGAAUACACCCUUGAGUCGACCGUCAUAAACAAGCGCCAUUGGGAUCGAGGCUUUCUCGCUGAAAGGUGGGGGGCUGAGUGAACGGUGGCGUGGCGGCCGGGUUGAGUGGCUCCUGACCUAUCAUACUAGAAGCUGGGGUAAUGCCCCAGCUUGGUCGCAACGGGUACAGAGGAUUAGGGUUCGAUCCUGGAGAGUGGGCCUGAGAAAUUGCUCAUACUUCUAAGGAAGGCAGCAGGCGCGCAACGUUCCCAAUGGGCAAUAGCCCGAGGGCGUGAAAGGAAAUACUAAUAUCGGCCUACUAAGGUUGGUAAUUAGAAUGAGGCUAAUUUAAAUCCAUUACUCGAGUAACAAUUAGAGGA